rnacentral:rRNA from 1 species
GACGAACGCUGGCGGCGUGCUUAACACAUGCAAGUCGAGCGAGGCCCCUCCUUCGGGAGGGUGUCCUAGCGGCGAACGGGUGAGUAACACGUGGGCAACCUGCCCUCAGCUCUGGGAUAACUCCGGGAAACCGGGGCUAAUACCGGAUACGACCUCCACGGGCAUCUGCGGAGGUGGAAAGCUUUUCGGCUGAGGAUGGGCCCGCGGCCUAUCAGCUAGUUGGUGGGGUAGUGGCCCACCACGGCGACGACGGGUAGCCGGCCUGAGAGGGCGACCGGCCACACGGGGACUGAGACAGGGCCCAGACGCCAACGGGAGGCAGCAGGGGGGAAUAUUGCGCAAUGGGCGAGAGCCUGACGCAGAGACGCCGCGUGAGGGACGAAGGCCUUCGGGUUGUAAACCUCUUUCAGCAGGGACGAAGCGAAAGUGACGGUACCUGCAGAAGAAGCACCGGCCAACUACGUG